CAAGCUGCUGCAUUGUGCAGUUUAGGAAAGCUCUUGCACUCUUCCUUUGCUAUUUAAAAAUCCCUUCGUGCUAAGGUCGAAGUAUUCUCAUCCGAUGCUGUUACUGAGCAAGCUGUUGAAAGGUAGCCACUUGUGAAGGGACGAGCCUGUCCCCUGGGGACAGGAGUGACCAGCAGUGACAGACCAAGCCAUGAACUGACCUUGCUGCAUGUCUCCCUUGAGAGAGGUGAUGGGUGUGCAGAGAGUGGCACUGAGCAACUCUGAAAGUUCUCUCCCCUUCAUCUAGAAGAACAACAUUUUAACUUCAUACAGUCACUAGGAAAAAAAGUUACUUUUGUUUCCACUCUACAGGAACUCCUGGAGAUGCCUUGGUGGGAAUCCAGUGAUAAAACUGCAGCUCAUUUCUCACUUACAGAAAGAAAAACAAAACUGAGGAAAGAAUGCUUCCUGCUACUCUUUGGUCAGUCGAUAAGCUUAAUUGGCCAGGCUUGCCUGCUGUACAUUGAUUGUACCUACUAAUAAAAGAGCUAUUGAUUGGCACUUUAUUUA